rnacentral:rRNA from 1 species
AGUGAACGCUGGCGGCAUGCCUAACACAUGCAAGUCGAACGGCAGCACAGUAAGCGCUUGCUCUUACGGGUGGCGAGUGGCGGACGGGUGAGGAAUGGAUGGGAACCUACGCUGUCGUGGGGGAUAACGAAGGGAAAGUCACGCUAACACCGCAUACGAUCUACGCGUGAAAGCACGGGAGCUUGGGACCUUGCGCGGUUGGAUGAGCCGUUGCCGGGUCAGUUAGUUGGCGGGGUAAAGGCCCACCAAGGCGACGAUCCGUAGCUGGCCUGAGAGAUUGAUCGGCCACACUGGAAGUGGAACACGGUCCAGACUCCUACGGGGGCCAGCCGUGGGGUCCUUUGGGAAGCAGCAGUAAGCAUGAUCCAGCCAUGCGCCGUAGGUGAACAAGGCCUUCGGGUGUUGAAGUCCUUUUGUUGGGGGAGGAAAGCAGCAGGUUCAUGCGAAGAUGUAAUGACGGUACCUAAAGAAUAAGCACCGGCUAACUUCGUG